ACGACUACAUUAGACUACCCUGUAGUCCUAGCCGUAAACGAUACUCGCUAGGUGUCGGCCACGGUGCGAACCGUUUGUCGGUGCCGUAGGGAAGCCGUGAAGCGAGCCACCUGGGAAGUACGGCCGCAAGGCUGAAACUUAAAGGAAUUGGCGGGGGAGCACCACAACGCGUGGAGCCUGCGGUUUAAUUGGAUUCAACGCCGGACAUCUCUCCAGGGCGACAGCAGAAUGAUGGCCAGGUUGAAGACUUUGCCGGAUUAGCUG
rnacentral:rRNA from 1 species